rnacentral:rRNA from 1 species
AACGCUAGCGGCAGGCUUAACACAUGCAAGUGUAGGGGUAGAAGGAGCUUGCUCCUUUGAGACCGGCGCACGGGUGCGUAACGCGUAUGCAAUCUACCUUGUACAGGGGGAUAGCCCAGAGAAAUUUGGAUUAAUACCCCAUAGUAUUUUCAGAUGGCCUCAUUUGAUUAUUAAAGUUCCAACGGUACAAGAUGAGCAUGCGUCCCAUUAGCUAGUUGGUGUGGUAACGGCAUACCAAGGCAACGAUGGGUAGGGGUCCUGAGAGGGAGAUCCCCCACACUGGUACUGAGACACGGACCAGACUCCUACGGGAGGCAGCAGUGAGGAAUAUUGGUCAAUGGGCGCAAGCCUGAACCAGCCAUGCCGCGUGCAGGAUGACGGUCCUAUGGAUUGUAAACUGCUUUUGUACAGGAAGAAACCCUCCCUUGUAAGGGAGCUUGACGG